AGGUACUUGUACGAAGAUCUAAGCUUAGUAGACACAGUUUUAAUUUCUUCCCGAUAGCAUAUCAGUAUGAAGAGUGCCUCGUAAUCCUGCUGACGACGACGGCGCUUGCUACCGGCGUCCUCGCAGCGUAUAAUGACCCGCUUCAGCCAGACUACCUCCUACCUUCGGAUGGCAAGCCAGGUUACCCAUACACGAGUUGUCCACAGGGUUUAGUAAUGGUGAUCCUUCCAUUCGAGCUUCUUCCCCGUACCAUCGUCCGUCACCUCCUUGUUCCCAUUUGCCAUGUCCUUGAAGUGAUGUAUUCCUUUUGUCCUUUAUAGUCUUAAAAUAUAUUACAUCUAUACUAGAUUGUACUUAUAUAUUAGAAUGAAAGGAGUAAUGGUCACAUUUUAAAUAGAAGAUUAGUUUGUCGAAGGAAAAAUGACAUUUAUUAGGCUUGUAUGCUUGUACUUAUAAUAAAGUACUUAUAUUGGUGCAGUGUAGUGCAAAAGUUAUCAACAAAUAUAAUAAAAUAGUUUUUAUUUC
rnacentral:sRNA from 1 species